UACGGGGGGAGCAAGCGUUGUUCGGAUUUACUGGGCGUAAAGGGCGCGUAGGCGGUCAGUGCAAGUCAGUUGUGAAAUCUCCGGGCUUAACUCGGAAAGGUCAACUGAUACUGCUCGACUAGAGUGCGGAAGGGGCAACUGGAAUUCCUGGUGUAGCGGUGAAAUGCGCAGAUAUCAGGAAGAACACCUAUGGCGAAAGCAGCUCUCUGGGACGGUACUGACGCUGAGACGCGAAAGCGUGGGGAGCGAACAGG
rnacentral:rRNA from 1 species